UACGUAGGUGACAAGCGUUGUCCGGAUUUACUGGGCGUAAAGAGCGCGCAGGCGGUCGAUCAAGUCGAGUGUGAAAGCCCCCGGCUCAACUGGGGAGGGUCAUUCGAUACUGAUCAACUCGAAGGCAGGAGAGGGUAGUGGAAUUCCCGGUGUAGUGGUGAAAUGCGUAGAUAUCGGGAGGAACACCAGUGGCGAAGGCGACUACCUGGCCUGUUCUUGACGCUGAGGCGCGAAAGCUAGGGGAGCAAACGGG
rnacentral:rRNA from 1 species